GUAAAGCGUGCGCAGGCGGUUAUAUAAGACAGAUGUGAAAUCCCCGGGCUCAACCUGGGAACUGCAUUGUGACUGUAUAGCUGGAGUGCGGCAGAGGGGAUGGAAUUCCGCGUGUAGCAGUGAAAUGCGUAGAUAUGCGGAGGAACACCGAUGGCGAAGGCAAUCCCCUGGGCCUGCACUGACGCUCAUGCACGAAAGCGUGGGGAGCAAACAGGAUUAGAUACCCCUGU
rnacentral:rRNA from 1 species